UACAGAGGGGGCAAGCGUUAUUCGGAAUUAUUGGGCGUAAAGGGCGCGUAGGCGGCCUGACAAAGUGGAAGGUGAAAUCCCUCGGCUUAACCGAGGAACUGCCCUCCAAACUGUUUGGCUUGAGACCGGGAGAGGUGAGUGGAAUUCCCAGUGUAGCGGUGAAAUGCGUAGAUAUUGGGAGGAACACCAGUGGCGAAGGCGGCUCACUGGACCGGUACUGACGCUGAGGCGGCGAAAGCGUGGGGAGCAACGGG
rnacentral:rRNA from 1 species